GGAAAUAUAGGUUGCUUCACAACCUAGGGCAAUUUGAGUUAUUCCUUUAAUAGAAAAGGAAUAUUCCCAAUAAAAAGAAUAUUGGGAUUUGGGUUAGGAUGGAAAUGACAGGGUCUAGGGAAGGAUUUGGGAAUUACAAGCCACUCUGGAAGCAAAGAAGAGGGCAUCUUCUUCAGUUUCCAGACCACAAAGCCACGGAAAAAGAAAACUCAGGCAAAAACCUUGGAAAAACAAAAGAAAAAAGAAAGGGCCAAAAAUCAGGCUGUCACAAACCUUACCACCUUAAAGAAAUCUCGUCCUCGAUAUUUGGUUGCUCAGGGAACAAGUAUGAAUUUUCCGACUUAAGGAAACCGUUUCCAACUCGGGUAUCGUUUUUUCCUUUAUUGUUGUUCCCAUUAAAUCUUUAUCUGACUGGCCCUGGGGUAGUUUUAUUUACUGUAUCCACCUUCUGACAGAUCUCGCCUGGCUUGCUCAUGCUUAUAUAGGCUCCAAUUUCUUUUUAGAUCUGCUGACUAGCUGUGUGUGAUUUGAUUAUCACGACUGAAAUAUAUGUCUGUCUCACAAAUCCAAAAGUGAUUUCCGCUGGGUGUGCCACCCGGCACUGACAACCUUUCAUGUAAUGAUGAUCAGGAUUUCCUGAUGAAAACUCAAGCUCUGACCCAUUGCAUUGGUUUCUCCACUAAGUGCAGGUCCUUUGGGUUCCAAACAGUGAGUUAAAACAUAUCCGUUUCAUGACAGAUUCUGACUCAUCGCAGAAGUUUCUGAAUCAACUUAACUGGUUCCAUUGUCGUGAGUAUCGGAUCCGUACCAAAUAUUUGAUUGUCUCCUGUCGCGGCCAACAUAAAGGGUUUGACCUGUAUGAUAAUAUCUGCAGACUUGGCUGACGAUGGUUCUGACGGAAAAAUCUUGUUCACGACAGGCUAUCCAUGAUGAUUCAUAUAAGUGAGGACUCAGGCUUCUAGACUGUUAUUCCUCAUGCCGAUUACUCAUGUUGUAGGCAUAUCCAUGUGGAUCAAUUCCGACUUAGACUGUCCGUGGGAUCUGCACCAUGGGGGUCGUGUACAAUUUUUAUACCUACAUCACUGGUCUUGCUCCUUCAUUAUUGUUUUCUUGGUCUGGAUCUUUGGCUGAAAGAGCUGGGCCAUAUUGCUUCUUCGUGUGUCCAUAGGUACUGUCGGUGCAAUUUUUUUCCCGGCAAUUGGAGUUUAUCCUCAUUUUUCUGAUAGGGUAACCCAUUAAAUGGCAGGUCUAUCACUUCUCAAGUUCUGACGGCAGAAAAAUGAUCAUCCGAAAUCCUUGCAAGAAAUCAGCAAAUAAAUCAGUAGCCACCAGAACGGGCUUUACAACUCAGAUCUGGGACAUUACUGAAAUAACUCAACCACGGCUCAGGACGGCCGAAAAGCAGCUCAGAGCAUGAGACCGGGUCGAUAAAUAGAAGGUGGCAGCUCCCUAAAAUAGCCAAAAAGCAGCUAUAGGGUUACUGUCACAAAAAGAAACUCAACAGCUGUACGAGACGGCCGAAAAGCAGCUCAGACUCGUUACAGUCGUUGAAGAGAGAAACAAAAGUCGGCAUCCACACCGGAUAGCUAGAAACAGCUCAGAUCACGCGCGUGGUGCCGUCAUUGAAGAAAAAGGGGAGAAGGGCUCAUCAGGAUCAUUUUCCAGGUUCACGGGUACUUGUAUGGAGCUUCAUUGAGGUCAUCAAUCCUCAUAAUCCUUUGCAGCGUAUACUGGCUUUCUUCUCUUAAUCAUCCUCACGUGGUUGUCAGAUCCUCAUCCGAGCGACUUGUAAGGUCUUGAUGGUAUGCUCAUUGCAUAUAUAUGAGGACCUGGUUCCGAGACAUACUUGUAUUCUGACUGAUUCUUGAUUCUAACCAAACUGUUGCGGAUCUGAUUCUUGGGAUUCACUGCCAUAUGCUGUCAAUUCAUAGCGUACUACCUUGUACCAAUGUCUUACUGAGAAAUAUUUGCUGGCUUGUGCUUGAAACUUUUCAUCGGACAGCUUGCUGAAAAAGACUGGGUAUCGUGCUUCAGAAGCUUACCCCCUUAAAGACUUUGCUGGGGAAAGACCCAGUACCUUAUGCCGGAAGCUUUUGCGGUUGCUUACUGAAGAAGGCAGUGUACCUUGCCCGGGAAAUCAUCCACGUAUCGUACUGAGGGAGAUAGAUGAAUCUUGCCUUGGAAGCUUCUCUGGUAUCUUGCCAGGGAAAAGUGGGUUGCUUACACCAGAAACUUCUUAUUGUGAUAUGCGGACCGAUUUGCACAUAUACAUACCAUCUUAAUAUUUUUGCUAUUGAUUUCUUGCAUGAUACGGGGUUUUGCAGGACUAUUCUCCUUUCCAAGUAUAUGCCAUAUUUUUGCUUGCUUCCAGGUACAUCGAGUUCCAAAAUCAUCCUCAACGAAAAAUUAAACUUGUAUCUGAGCCAUACCUUUGAUAAUAUUCUGUCAAUCUUGCACACAAUUUAUCUUCUUGCUGAUUUAAUCAUUUUGUUGUGAUGAGUGUACGCUAAUGCAAACUUGAUACUGACGGUCCAUCCAGGAUUUCUUUUGCAUCCAUACAAGAUAUUCCCAAUUUCACUGCAGUCGGCUGAUAAUUCCAUUCUGUUUAGCUGAGUUUCCAGAUAUAUGCAUUUCUUGCUGACUCUUCGGGUCCAAUGUCGGCUGACGAGUAACUUUAAUAGGGGAAGAAUUGGUAACACUGAAGGCCCAAAGAAAGGAACAACAGAAACGACUAAAACAAAAGCACACAUGCAUAGUACUAGUAUAAUUAAUCAAGCAAUCAUCACAUAUUACUGCUACUCACACAAUAAUAUGCAUGCCUACUUAAGCACACAAAUUCCGCGGAAUCUCCGGUACUACGAUCUAGCAUGCUGUGACGAUGUGCACGAGCAUGAAUAAAUGUGUGGAAGAAUUGGUGUAAACAGCGCUACACCAACUGCUAGCUUAGCCAGGUGGCAACCUGAACUAGCUCGGAGGCGAGGACGUACUCGGUAAUCAUGUAAUGGGACACGAAGGUCGCAACCACAUCAUUAUCAAGCGGACGGAAAAAGAUCCGUACUCGUCCAAGAAAUAGGAUUGCGGGGAAAAACUGAGGCUGUUGACAUUGCCCUUCCUUGAUAACUAAGAUCAUUAAGGGUUGCCAACACGACAAAAUAAAAGAACGAUCCGGGAUAGACGCAUGUCCAUCACCGAAAUGAGAGGCGGGACUGAAAGAAAGACAUCAGUGCGAUACCUGAGCACCAUUUUUGCAAACAGUGUCUGGAUCACUUGGCAUCACUCUGCUGGGACAGAAAUGACACCAAACACCGAAAGAAAAAGGGACUGGGGAAAUGCAAAGGUUGAGCUAUAGUGGGUCCGAACCGAUGCCAGCUACACUCACCAGAUAAACUGUUAGCGACUAAAUAAUAAUCUAUAUGCAUGCUAUGCGACAAGCAAAUGCAGCAAUCAAGUGCAAUCAUCCAGCGAGACUCUAUACUACCGAUUUCUAACGUUCGCGCGGUCUAGGGCGUCCUACAGCCAGACCUAGCUCUGAUACCAAGCCUGUGGCACCCCGGCUUAGAGUAAACCGGAACGCCCCGUAUUCCAGCCCAGAGAUCGAGAAGAAGUGUGCUGGAAUACGGCACUGCUAAGCAUAGAACAACCCAGCUUUCCAUUAUUACACGAAUAUGAUUAGGUCUCCGAUAUUACAAUGAAUAACAUCGGCACGGCGACACUACGCCAUCCUCCGUUGCUCUAUGCAAGCAGCAGAACAACUCGAAGCAGCGGAAUAACUCUAGCAGCGGAACAACGACGACGGUAGUGAACUCCACUCCGCAGGGACUCUGGCUGGAACGCUUAUCCUAGCUCGCACAAACGAAAACCACGACAAGCAAGCAAUCAAAUCUGGCAUGACCUGCAAGCUGGCAUGACAUGCCAGGUCAGUACAUUGAAUGUACUUGCAAGCUCACAAUAACCAGAAGCAUUCAAGGCAACAACAGCAUGGCAAUUACAAGUUAAACCAAAAUUUAACAUGAUAUCAUCAGAACAAUAUAGCAUGGCCAAUAUAAACAUGAUACAACUAGAACAACAUAAGCAUAUUAAUCCGACAAUACUAGCACGCAAUAUGAUGACACUAUCAUGCACCACUUAUUCUGCUCGGGUUACCUCGUAACCAACACAUGCAUCACUUACCAACCUCGGACAUCACACGAUCAUCUUAGGAUCAAAUCAAGCUUGGUAUAAACAAUACCGUAGUAAUCAUUAAAUGACCACAAGGAGCUUAAUCUUUACCCACAACUUUCGCACAACAUGACGAAUAUACAACGACUCGGUAUCCUCGAUACCAUUGUGAUCCUUAAGGAGAUCACCACCCGACCAACACUUGGCCCCAAACUGUGAUCCUUACGGCGAUCACCACCCGACCAACACUUGGCCCCAAACUGUGAUCCUUACGGCGAUCACCACCCGACCAACACUUGGCCCGUGAUCCUUACGGCGAUCACCACCACGGUUUGUCAUUAAUCAAGUUAUUCUUAUUACUGUUGACUCAUGGUGUGACCUACUUUCGACCUGGGCCCUUAUCUGCGGGCGCGGCUAUUGAUAGAUUUAAUAUACACUCUGCAGAGGUUAGUACACUGUACCCACACUACGGAACCCAUGGCCUCGCACUCCCAUUCGGGUGGACCAACAACGUCCCGACUGCCAUGACACUCUCCCGGCCACUCUGACUCACUCCCCACUGGGCUAAGUCAUGGGUGGCCCUGUGUCUACCUCCAGACACAACGACCACCGCCGUGGCCAAAACAUAAACAAUCCCACACGGGGAUCCGCCGGCUAUAACAACUACGGGCACACAAGGCUAUGCCUGCUUACCGGGCCAGGGUACAGCACACCCAUAACCUUCCCUCGUUGGAGGCACUGGCGAGAGGCACGACAAUAGACCCAGUUAGGACCGUCCCAUACCGGUAAGCAUGGUUGCACUGGUCAGCAUCGACUCAGCGGCACCAUGACUCAGCCAACAGUUGUUCAAGUUCAAUUUAAUCCAGUUCACUUGAAUGCAAAUAUGCUGAGCCAUGAUAAAAUGCAUGAACAUGAUAUCAGCAUCAUCAUGAGAGUAUCACAUAACUUUCCACCAUAUCAACAAUAAAUCAUAUCCAAUGAGCAUCGCAUACUAACUAGCAUGACCAUCUCCAACAUCAACAUGUACCAGUAACAAGCAUAAACAUAUGAAAGGUAAUACUAGCAGGUAUAACAUGAUCACAGAGUAUAAGACAACAUAGCACAAAAGUGAACAUGCAAAUCUGAACAUCACCGGAACAACGAUAACCAUCUUUUCAACAAGCAAACAUUUAUUAAAUAUUCAAAUUGAAAACCAUGACUACUGCAUGACUAUUAUGUAAGUGGGUAUUGUGGCUUGCCUGGGGAUGAAGAAGGCACCGGGGAGAAGUGUCAGAAACUCGCGAAACGAAUCGCCGGAAAACGUUCUCUCUCGGAGGGGGCAGAUUAAGGGCAGGGGCAAAAUGGUCAUUUUCAGUAUGCCAAAACAUAAUGAAAGUGACGCCAACAGAAAGGGCUCGACGAAACGAAGAAGUGAGCGUUGGUUUCACCUCAUUUGGAGUUACGGAUAAAAAGUUAUGAAGACUUGAAGUUCAGGGACUUUUCUGCAAAAAAUUCAUCACAAAUAAGUCCCUGAGUGGAUAAGACAGAAGCGCAAAACAGAAACACGCUUUCGGUCAGCGAAAACGUAUUCUGCGGAAUACGUUUCCACUUAUCCACGUUAGCGUGGACUGGUUAACGUGGGGCCGGCGGCUUAGAGGCUUACAGGUGGGGUCCACGUGCAGGGGAUGGGGCCCGCCUGGCCAGCUGGCCAGGUCAACGCCCCUGUCUUAUUCCUCCCGUACUCGCUCCCGAGCGGAACAGAGGAGACAGGGGGCGGCCGCGGCAGGGGAGGGGCCGGCCGGCUCCGGCGAGCUCCGGCCCGGCCGAGCACACUGGCGGGGCCGCGGGGAAGCGCCGCACCCGUUCAGAGGGGAAGGGGUCGCCGGGGAGGCCUGGGCGGCGGCGGCAGGCGGCGCCAUGAGGAGGACAGAAGGCGGGCGCCGGUGGUGGUUCACGGUGGUGUGGCUGUCUCUGGCGAUGCUGAGGGGGUGGGGCGCCUCUACGGGACGAGGGGAAGACGAUGGGGGAUUCGGGGAAGCACGAGGAGGCUCGAAACGGCCGGACGAGCUGGCGGCCGAACGGCGGAGGCGGCGGCCGAGCUCCGGGAGACGCGGCCAGAGGCACUCCGGCGAGGGGUAAGUGGUUUGGGCAAACCGCGAGGAGGUGGGGGAGCUCGUGGACAACACCAGGGGAGGAGAGGAUGCUCGAGCUCGCCGGAACCAAGGAGGAACCGCGGCGGCCGAGGCGAACAGAGGCGAACUCCGGCGAGAUGUCGUUGCUCCGGUGGGCUAGGAGGGACGAGGAGGGGCUUGGGACCUGAGGGAGGGCUUGGGGGUCCUUAUAUAGGCGCGGAGGAGGGCUCUAGAGCUCACGGACGAGCUCCCGACCAAGCAUUAAUGGAGGGCAGUGGCUGGGCAUGGCACGGGCAUGGACCUAGCGACGCAUUCAUGGCGAACCACGACGAGCCAUCGACGCAGGGCGAUGCAGGGCAUCACGGGCAGCUACUAGACAUGGAUGGAGGUCGAGACGACGAGGGAGACGAUGGGCACAGGGCCGGGAAGAAGCCAGAGCGCGCAUUCUGCAUGACGCAAGCGUGAUUACCAUGCGCACUGGUGCAAAUAGCUCGUUCUGGCCGGGCCGACCAUGUACACUGGAAUGACCCCAGUGACCUAAGUAUGAUUGAGGAAAUAAAUCAUUCCAGGGGCAAAGAAGAGAUUUGCACUUAGCUCCAAAGUAAACCAGGAGCCAAGUGUUUGUGCUGUGCAGUGGGGACACUAGCUAGGUAACUCAGUAAAUAACUUGUCUAAGAGGUUUAUCUAUUGAAGGACUUUUAUCCUGGAGGUUUUGAGGGUAAAAGGAUCAAGAUUUACUGCAGUUGCUUCACAACUGCAUAUUUGGUCCAGGAAUGAAGAUCAUGAUGGUGCACUCACAUGGAGUGUCAACUUGAGCUAAUAUUGGGCAAAGCUUAGUCAUUUGGUCAUAUGAAGAUGCUCACAAAGUAUCAUACCAUUUGGCAAAGCCAAAAUGGUACUUGCUUCACAAACAUCUUCUCUAGACAGAAACUUGAAAUAAUAUUGGUGGUCAAAUGGAUCAAUGAAAUGAUGCCAAAUUGGGUGGAGAGAUGUUGUAUGGGUAGAAUAAUGAUUUAGUAAUUUAUCAGGAGUUUUGAAGCAAUAUAAAAUGCACUUGCUUCACAACCUGAAAAUAUUGCCAGAAUCAAAGAUUUGCUCCUGUGCUCACAUAGAUAAUUGGAUGGGGCUGAAAAUGGGUGGAAGGGGUUAAUAUGAGCACAUUAAGAAGUGUGAAAAAGUUCAUCUCAUUUGUGUACUCCUAGCUAGUACUCCCUUCACAAAGCUUUCUGUCUGACAGAAACUUUGAAAAAUCACUGAGGAAGAUUGGCUAGGCAAAUAAAUUUGAACUUGUGCAUGAGGCAAUUAUUUGGACAUAUAAACAUGCCCAAAAAGGUUGGGAGUCAAUAGGAGAAAUAUAAAUGACACUUCCUUCACAAAGUGCCAUAUUUGAUCAUUGCAAUGAAAAGUUUUGCCAUUGGGGAAUUAUUUUUGAACAUUGCAAUGAAAAGUUUUGCCAUAUUUGAUAAAGAUAUGACCCAAACAAUUUAUGAGAAUUAUUUGCAUAUUUUUGGAGUGAGGGAAAUAUAGGUUGCUUCACAACCUAGGGCAAAUUGAGUUAUUCCUUCAAUAGAAAAGGAAUAUUCCCAAUAAAAAGAAUAUUGGGAUUUGGGUUAGGAUGGAAAUGACAGGGUCUAGGGAAGGAUUUGGGAAUGACAAGCCACUCUGGAAGCAAAGAAGAGGUCAUCUUCUUCAGUUUCCAGACCACAAAGCCACGGAAAAAGAGAACUCGGGCAAAAACCUUGGAAAAACAAAAGAAAAAA
rnacentral:lncRNA from 1 species